CCAGAUCGCCGGCUAAGGCCCCUAAGCGUGUACUAAGUGGAAAAGGAUGUGGGGUUGCUGAGACAACCAGGAGGUUGGCUUAGAAGCAGCCACCCUUGAAAGAGUGCGUAAUAGCUCACUGGUCAAGUGGUUCUGCGCCGACAAUGUAGCGGGGCUCAAGUACACCGCCGAAGCCGCGGCACUCACACAACACCUCGGAAGGGUUACGGUCUUUCCGGCAGUGGUGUGGGUGGGUAGGGGAGCGUCGUGCAGCCGUGGAAGCAGCAGCGUGAGCUAGUUGUGGAGGCUGUGCGAGUGAGAAUGCAGGCAUGAGUAGCGAAAGACGAGUGAGAAACUCGUCCGCCGAAUGACCAAGGGUUCCUGGGGCAGGUUAAUCCGCCCAGGGUGAGUCGGGACCUAAGGCGAGGCCGACAGGCGUAGUCGAUGGACAACGGGUUGAUAUUCCCGUACCCGUGUGAACGCGCCCAGUGGUGAAUCAUCGGUACUAACCGUCCAAAUGCUGAGCCGGCACCUUCGGGUGUGGUGAGGUUGCUGCGCGGGACCUUCGGUGUAGUAGUCAAGCGAUGGGGUGACGCAGGAAGGUAGCUGGGCCAGGUGGUGGAUUACCUGGUGUAAGCCGGUAGGGCGGGACAUAGGUAAAUCCGUGUCUCAUGUGCCUGAGAGGUGAUGCGUACCCGUUGAGGGGAAUUCAGUGAUCCUAUGCUGUCGAGAAAAGCCUCUAGUGAGUUUUCACACGGCCCGUACCCCAAACCGACACAGGUGGUCAGGUAGAGAAUACCGAGGCGAUCGAGAGAACUGUGGUCAAGGAACUCGGCAAAAUGCCCCCGUAACUUCGGGAGAAGGGGGACCUGAUCUGGUGAUGGAAUGUGCUUCCGGAGCUGGGUUGGGUCGCAGAGACCAGAGAGAAGCGACUGUUUACUAAAAACACAGGUCCGUGCGAAGUCGCAAGACGAUGUAUACGGACUGACGCCUGCCCGGUGCUGGAAGGUUAAGAGGACCGGUUAGUGGCUUUCGGGCUGCGAAGCUGAGAAUUUAAGCCCCAGUAAACGGCGGUGGUAACUAUAACCAUCCUAAGGUAGCGAAAUUCCUUGUCGGGUAAGUUCCGACCUGCACGAAUGGCGUAACGACUUCUCUGCUGUCUCAACCACAGACUCGGCGAAAUUGCAUUACGAGUAAAGAUGCUCGUUACGCGCGGCAGGACGAAAAGACCCCGGGACCUUCACUAUAGCUUGGUAUUGGUGUUCGGUUCGGUUUGUGUAGGAUAGGUGGGAGACUGUGAUGCGGGCACGCCAGUGUUCGUGGAGUCGUUGUUGAAAUACCACUCUGAUCGUAUUGGAUGUCUAACCUCGGGCCCUGAUCGGGUUCAGGGACAGUGCCUGGUGGGUAGUUUAACUGGGGCGGUUGCCUCCCAAAAUGUAACGGAGGCGCCCAAAGGUUCCCUCAGCCUGGUUGGCAAUCAGGUGUUGAGUGUAAGUGCACAAGGGAGCUUGACUGUGAGACUGACAGGUCGAGCAGGGACGAAAGUCGGGACUAGUGAUCCGGCACCGGCAUGUGGAAGCGGUGUCGCUCAACGGAUAAAAGGUACCCCGGGGAUAACAGGCUGAUCUUCCCCAAGAGUCCAUAUCGACGGGAUGGUUUGGCACCUCGAUGUCGGCUCGUCGCAUCCUGGGGCUGGAGUAGGUCCCAAGGGUUGGGCUGUUCGCCCAUUAAAGCGGCACGCGAGCUGGGUUUAGAACGUCGUGAGACAGUUCGGUCUCUAUCCGCCGCGCGCGUUAGAAACUUGAGGAAGGCUGUCCCUAGUACGAGAGGACCGGGACGGACGAACCUCUGGUGUGCCAGUUGUUCCGCCAGGAGCACGGCUGGUUAGCUACGUUCGGAAGGGAUAACCGCUGAAAGCAUCUAAGCGGGAAGCCUGUUCCAAGAUGAGGUUUCUCACCCCCGUUGAGGGGGUAAGGCCCCCGGCAGAUCACCGGGUUGAUAGGCCAGAACUGGAAGCGCAGUAAUGUGUGGAGGUGACUGGUACUAAUAGGCCGAGGUCUUACCACG
rnacentral:rRNA from 1 species